rnacentral:rRNA from 1 species
GAUGAACGCUGGCGGCGUGCCUAAUACAUGCAAGUCGAGCGAACAGACGAGGAGCUUGCUCCUCUGACGUUAGCGGCGGACGGGUGAGUAACACGUGGAUAACCUACCUAUAAGACUGGGAUAACUUCGGGAAACCGGAGCUAAUACCGGAUAAUAUAUUGAACCGCAUGGUUCAAUAGUUAAAGACGGUUUUGCUGUCACUUAUAGAUGGAUCCGCGCCGCAUUAGCUAGUUGGUAAGGUAACGGCUUACCAAGGCAACGAUGCGUAGCCGACCUGAGAGGGUGAUCGGCCACACUGGAACUGAGACACGGUCCAGACUCCUACGGGAGGCAGCAGUAGGGAAUCUUACGCAAUGGGCGAAAGCCUGACGGAGCAACGCCGCGUGAGUGAUGAAGGUCUUCGGAUCGUAAAACUCUGUUAUUAGGGAAGAACAAAUGCGUAAGUAACUAUGCACGUCUUGACGGUACCUAAUCAGAAGGCCACGGCUAACUACGUG